GUGUGAUAAAUCAAACGCACCCAAAAAUGUUGCAUGCUGGGCCUGGCCGGAGCACGUCCUGUUACUUCUCCUGAGAGAUAGGCCUAUGUUACACAGAGUACACGACCCACAAUCCCUGUUCCACAUGAUGAACUCAGAAACACUCAGACGUGUUUGAGAGGCGCGGAGAAAACUGAAUCGGUCAUAUUAAACACGGCGAAGGAGCAGGGAGACUGGACCUGAGGAGAACACGCUGUGAGGACUUCCUGCUGCAUCAGCUGCUCGCUGUGAUUCAGACAGGUUGCUGAGCCAGGCCUGGGGUAACUCUAUCAGCAGUGUUGGAUGGCAGAGUCUAUAAUGUUGGCUGAGCUUGUCAUCUGACCCUAUUGACAUCCCAAGAACACUCAUCAAUACGAUCCAACAAAAGCAGAGCAUUACUCCUGAGUCCGAGUGGGUUUGUAAGCCAGGAGGACUUCAUUUCAGCUCAAUAUCUUCCGCUGGAGCUC